GACGAACGCUGGCGGCGUGCUUAACACAUGCAAGUCGAGCGGUAAGGCCCUUUCGGGGUACGACGAGCGGCGAACGGGUGAGUAACACGUGGGUGACCUGCCCUCAGCUCUGGGAUAAGCCUGGGAAACGUGGGUCGUAAUACCGGAUAUGACUCCAUGACGCAUGUUGUGGGGUGGAAAGCCUUGUGCGGCUGAGGAUGGGCCCGCGGCCUAUCAGCUUGUUGGUGGGGUGANGGCCUACCAAGGCGACGACGGGUAGCCGGCCUGAGAGGGCGACCGGCCACACUGGGACUGAGACACGGCCCAGACUCCUACGGGAGGGCAGCAGUGGGGAAUCUUGCGCAAUGGGCGAAAGCCUGACGCAGCGACGCCGCGUGAGGGAUGACGGCCU
rnacentral:rRNA from 1 species